rnacentral:sRNA from 1 species
UCUGCUCCGAUGGCGGGAGGUGCGAUGA